UACGGAGGGGGCUAGCGUUGUUCGGAAUUACUGGGCGUAAAGCGCACGUAGGUGGCUUUGUAAGUUAGAGGUGAAAGCCCGGGGCUCAACUCCGGAAUUGCCUUUAAGACUGCAUCGCUAGAACGUCGGAGAGGUAAGUGGAAUUCCGAGUGUAGAGGUGAAAUUCGUAGAUAUUCGGAAGAACACCAGUGGCGAAGGCGGUUCUCUGGGCCUUAC
rnacentral:rRNA from 1 species